AUGGCCUCCAAGCCAGGCCCUCUCACCCGGUGGCCAUGGCACGGCCUCGGAAACUACAAGUAUGGGCUGGUUGCUCCGUGGGCGGCGUACAGUGCGUACAGGUUCGUGGCGGCCAAGGCGAGAGGCGAGGAAGGGGACCUGCUCAGCCUCUUCGUGGUGCCGACGAUGCUCCUCCGGCUGCUCCACACCCAGCUCUGGAUCUCCGUCUCCCGCCACCAGACCGCCAGCAGCAAGCAUAGGAUCGUCGGCAAGAGCAUCGACUUCGAUCAGGUCGACAGGGAGAGGAACUGGGACGACCAGAUCAUCCUGACGGCGCUGCUGUUCUACGUGCUCAACUCGGUGCUGCCGAUGAGGCAGGGCCUCCCGUGGUGGAACUCCGGAGGCCUCGUCCUCAGCGUGCUCCUCCACCUCGGCCCCGUUAAGUUCCUCUACUACUGGUUCCACUUCCACCCCGCGCUGCACCACCACUAUCUCUACUCCCGGUACCACUCCCACCACCACGCCUCCGUCGUCAGCGAGCCCGUCACCUCCGUCACUAUCUCUACUCGCCAUGGAGAACGCCUACCUCCUCUACAUCGACUUCAUGAACUGCCUGGGACACUGCAACUUCGAGCUCGUGCCCGAGCGCCUCUUCCACCUAUUUCCCCCUCUCAAGUUCCUCGUGUAAACCCAUCGUAA
rnacentral:rRNA from 1 species